rnacentral:rRNA from 1 species
ACGGGAGGCAGCAGUGUGGGAUAUUGCACAAUGGAGGAAACUCUGAUGCAGCAACGCCGCGUGAGGGAAGAAGGUUUUCGGAUUGUAAACCUCUGUUUUUAGUGAAGAAACAAAUGACGGUAGCUAAAGAGGAAGCCACGGCUAACUACGUGCCAGCAGCCGCGGUAAUACGUAGGUGGCAAGCGUUAUCCGGAUUUACUGGGUGUAAAGGGAGCGCAGGCGGGACAGCAAGUUGGAUGUGAAAUACCGAGGCUUAACCACGGAGCUGCAUCCAAAACUGUUGUCCUUGAGUGAAGUAGAGGUAGGCGGAAUUCCGAGUGUAGCGGUGAAAUGCGUAGAUAUUCGGAGGAACACCAGUGGCGAGGGCGGCCUACUGGGCUUUAACUGACGCUGAGGCUCGAAAGUGUGGGGAGCAAACAGGAUUAGAUACCCUGGUA